AGAGUCAGCAGGAAUCAGGAGGUCUAGAAGGAGUCAUAGUUCCACUAAUCAGGAGGUCUAGAAGGAGUCAUAGUUCCACUAAUCAGGAGGUCUAGAAGGAGUCAUAGUUCCACUAAUCAGGAGGUCUAGAAGGAGUCAUAGUUCCACUAAUCAGGAGGUCUAGAAGGAGUCAUAGUUCCACUAAUCAGGAGGUCUAGAAGGAGUCAUAGUUCCACUAAUCAGGAGGUCUAGAAGGAGUCAUAGUUCCACUAAUCAGGAGGUCUAGAAGGAGUCAUAGUUCCACUAAUCAGGAGGUCUAGAAGGAGUCAUAGUACCACUAAUCAGGAGGUCUAGAAGGAGUCAUAGUUCCACUAAUCAGGAGGUCUAGAAGGAGUCAUAGUACCACUAAUCAGGAGGUCUAGAAGGAGUCAUAGUUCCACUAAUCAGGAGGUCUAGAAGGAGUCAUAGUUCCACUAAUCAGGAGGUCUAGAAGGAGUCAUAGUACCACUAAUCAGGAGGUCUAGAAGGAGUCAUAGUUCCACUAAUCAGGAGGUCUAGAAGGAGUCAUAGUUCCACUAAUCAGGAGGUCUAGAAGGAGUCAUAGUUCCACUAAUCAGGAGGUCUAGAAGGAGUCAAAGUUCCACUAAUCAGGAGGUCUAGAAGGAGUCAUAGUUCCACUAAUCAGGAGGUCUAGAAGGAGUCAUAGUUCCACUAAU